rnacentral:rRNA from 1 species
GAUGAACGCUAGCGGCAGGCCUAACACAUGCAAGUCGAGGGGCAGCACAGGUAGCAAUACUGGGUGGCGACCGGCGGAUGGGUGCGUAACGCGUAUGCAACCUACCAUUGAUUGGGGCAUAGCCCGAAGAAAUUCGGAUUAAUACUCCAUAAUAUUCAUCAAAGGCAUCUUUUAUGAAUUAAAGCCUUUUGCGAUCAAUGAUGGGCAUGCGUGACAUUAGUUAGUUGGUGAGGUAACGGCUCACCAAAACGAUGAUGUCUAGGGGUUCUGAGAGGAUUAUCCCCCACACUGGUACUGAGACACGGACCAGACUCCUACGGGAGGCAGCAGUGAGGAAUAUUGGUCAAUGGACGCAAGUCUGAACCAGCCAUGCCGCGUGCAGGAUGACGGCCCUAUGGGUUGUAAACUGCUUUUCCACGGGAAGAACCCUCCGACGUGUCGGAGACUGACGGUACCGUGGGAAUAAGCAUCGGCUAACUCCGUG